rnacentral:rRNA from 1 species
CCUACGGGAGGCUGCAGUGGGGGAUAUUGCACAAUGGGGGAAACCCUGAUGCAGCGACGCCGCGUGUGGGAAGACGGUCCUCUGGAUUGUAAACCACUGUCCCCAGGGACGAAGAUGACGGUACCUGGGGACGAAGCUCCGGCUAACUACGUGCCAGCAGCCGCGGUACUACGUAGGGAGCGAGCGUUGUCCGGAAUUACUGGGUGUAAAGGGAGCGUAGGCGGGACGGCAAGAUGGGUGUCAAAUCUACCGGCUCAACCGGUAGCCGCACUCAAAACUGCAGUUCUUGAGUGAAGUAGAGGCAGGCGGAAUUCCUGGUGUAGCGGUGAAAUGCGUAGAUAUUAGGAGGAACACCAGUGGCGAAGGCGGCCUGCUGGGCAGUGACUGACGCUGAGGCUCGAAGGUGUGGGGAGCGAACAGGAUUAGAUACCCUGGUAGUC